rnacentral:rRNA from 1 species
AUUGAACGCUGGCGGCAUGCCUUACACAUGCAAGUCGAACGGCAGCACGGGAGCAAUCCUGGUGGCGAGUGGCGAACGGGUGGGUAAUAUAUCGGAACGUGCCCAGUAGUGGGGGAUAACUGCUCGAAAGAGCAGCUAAUACCGCAUACGACCUGAGGGUGAAAGGGGGGGAUUGCAAGACCUCUCGCUAUUGGAGCGGCCGAUAUCAGAUUAGCUAGUUGGUGGGGUAAAGGCCUACCAAGGCAACGAUCUGUAGUUGGUCUGAGAGGACGACCAGCCACACUGGGACUGAGACACGGCCCAGACUCCUACGGGAGGCAGCAGUGGGGAAGUUUGGACAAUGGGCGCAAGCCUGAUCCAGCAAUGCCGCGUGCAGGAAGAAGGCCUUCGGGUUGUAAACUGCUUUUGUCAGGGAAGAAAUCCUCUAGGUUAAUACCCUGGGGGGGAUGACGGUACCUGAAGAAUAAGCACCGGCUAACUACGUGCCAGCAGCCGCCGUAACAC